CUCGGUGGUUAUGGCGGAAGGGUCACACCCGUUCCCAUUCCGAACACGGAAGUUAAGCCUUCCAGCGCCGAUGGUACUACACGGGCAACUGUGUGGGAGAGUAGGACACUGCCGGGG
rnacentral:rRNA from 1 species